CUCAUCAACGGCGACUUCAAAAUAAUCUACGAGGCCAGGGACAAAAACAACCACAACCUAAACAGGAGAUUUAUGGGCCAUUUUAGAGCUGCGAUCGAUGGAGCUGGGCUACGCCAGAUCAAGUGCAACAAUCGCAGAUUCACUUGGAGUAGCGAGAGAGAAAAUCCAACCCUAGUUAGCAUUAAUAAGUUCUUCUGCAACACGCAUUGGGAGACCCUGUUCCCGCAUGUCCUCCUCAUAGCGGCGUCCACUGUGUGCUCAGAUCACUGCCCACUCAUGCUUGCGGAUGCGACUAGGCCUCGAUGA
rnacentral:rRNA from 1 species